UACGUAGGGUGCGAGCGUUGUCCGGAAUUACUGGGCGUAAAGAGCUUGUAGGUGGCUCGUCGCGUCGGGAGUGAAAACCCGCGGCUUAACCGCGGGCCUGCUUUCGAUACGGGCGGGCUAGAGUUCGGCAGGGGAGACUGGAAUUCCUGGUGUAGCGGUGGAAUGCGCAGAUAUCAGGAGGAACACCGGUGGCGAAGGCGGGUCUCUGGGCCGAUACUGACACUGAGAAGCGAAAGCGUGGGGAGCGAACAGG
rnacentral:rRNA from 1 species